AGUGAACGCUGGCGGUAGGCCUAACACAUGCAAGUCGAACGGCAGCACAGUAAGAGCUUGCUCUUACGGGUGGCGAGUGGCGGACGGGUGAGGAAUACGUCGGAAUCUACUUUUUCGUGGGGGAUAACGUAGGGAAACUUACGCUAAUACCGCAUACGACCUACGGGUGAAAGCAGGGGAUCUUCGGACCUUGCGCGAUUGAAUGAGCCGAUGUCGGAUUAGCUAGUUGGCGGAGUAAAGGCCCACCAAGGCGACGAUCCGUAGCUGGUCUGAGAGGAUGAUCAGCCACACUGGAACUGAGACACGGUCCAGACUCCUACGGGAGGCAGCAGUGGGGAAUAUUGGACAAUGGGCGCAAGCCUGAUCCAGCCAUACCGCGUGGGUGAAGAAGGCCUUCGGGUUGUAAAGCCCUUUUGUUGGGAAAGAAAAGCAGCAGGUUAAUACCCCGCUGUUCUGACGGUACCCAAAGAAUAAGCACCGGCUAACUUCGUG
rnacentral:rRNA from 1 species